AAGUCGUAACAAGGUAACCGUAGGUGAACCUGCGGUUGGAUCAUUAACCAAAGCAUGGGUUGCUUAGAAUCGCCUUACGUGUACACUACCACCUUUUUCACAAAAGAGUUGGGAUGGGUAUGCGUAUCCUUCGGGAACAUUGUGUGCACUGUUGUGUCUCUGGCGGUGGGGCAAGUACUGGGUAUAUGCAAGUAUGCUUCUGUAUUUGUCUGUCAGUCUGGUGUAAAAAGCCAGGACCGUGGACAAACCGCCGAAUUAUUAAACAACUUGUAUUUUUCAACUUUAAUGUCUGACAUCACGUUUAUAUUAAAUUAUACAAACAACUUUUGGCAACGGAUCUCUUGGCUCUC
rnacentral:misc_RNA from 1 species